UACGUAGGGUGCAAGCGUUGUCCGGAAUUAUUGGGCGUAAAGAGCUCGUAGGUGGCCUGUCGCGUCGGCUGUGAAAACUUGGGGCUCAACUCCGAGCUUGCAGUCGAUACGGGCAGGCUAGAGUUCGGCAGGGGAGACUGGAAUUCCUGGUGUAGCGGUGAAAUGCGCAGAUAUCAGGAGGAACACCGGUGGCGAAGGCGGGUCUCUGGGCCGAUACUGACACUGAGGAGCGAAAGCGUGGGGAGCGAACAGG
rnacentral:rRNA from 1 species